GGGACAAUGGGUGAAAUGGGCACAAUUAAACUAUUCAGGGCUCUAAAGUCCUGAACUAAGCGAUAUGCUGGCCAGUGGUGUUGGGAGUGGGUCUGGUGUUGUUCUUGCCUACCGGGCAUAUUUUGAGAAUUGUGGGGUUGUUGGGGUGUGUGGGGUUUCCUGGGGUUUCCUGGGGUGUGGACACUCAUUCCUCCAGUGGCCAUAUUGGCCACAGUUGAAACAAGUGUUCCUGUCCAUUCCUCCUUGGUUACCCCUGCCCCUAUAACCCUGAUUUCCCUGUCUCCAUCCCCUUGCCCCUCUUUGACCACCCCUUCCACGGGCUUUAUGUGCUCCAUCCCAUCCUCGCUCUCAGCCUGUGUAGCUGGACAUAAUAUGUUGCAAUCCCUGAGCAUAAUAAGCAACCUUACUUUCCUAAAUCUUUUCUUAAUUCAAAACAACCUGCAUUUUCCUUUUCUAUAACCUUGGUAAGAAACUCUGAGCUAUCCAAAUUGGCCCAGUCUGAAAUCAAUUGUUUCACAAGCAAAGAAUACUGUGGCAACAUAUUACCAAGGCAUGACUGUAUUUUAAAGAGAUCUAUAUCAUCUCCAGACAUCAAACCUGCCUCAUCCUUCC